GUCAUUAUGAGUUAAUUAGGAAUUAUGGGUGUUGUAUGAAUUUUUCUAGAAUAUUUGGAAUUUGUUUGGAAUUUUUGGAAUUUCGGGAAAUUGAUUUUGAUUGAUAAUUAAUUGUUUUGAAAUGUAAAAAAAUUAUUAGAUGGGUUGGAAAAUUCCAAAAUUUGGGUUAAAUUUCAAAUAUAAUGAUUUGUGAAUUUUUAGGCAUUGGUUAGAAUAUUUUCGAAAAUUUUAGGGUAAAUAGUUAGUUAAUUUUGGAUAGUAGAAAUUAUUAUAAUGGUUGAAAAAUUUUGUAAGUGUGGUAAAAUCUCAAGAUUUUUUAUAUGCAAUUUUUUGAAUAUUUAUUUGGGAUAUUAUCGGAAAUUGUAAUGUGUGAAAUUAUUUUAUUGGAUUAUUGGGGAAUGUUGAGAUUGUUGAAUUAUUGAGG
rnacentral:lncRNA from 1 species